CGUAGGUGGCAAGCGUUGUCCGGAUUUAUUGGGUUUAAAGGGUGCGUAGGCGGUCCUAUAAGUCAGUGCUGAAAUAUCCCGGCUUAACCGGGAGGGUGGCAUUGAUACUGUAGGACUUGAGUAAAGUUGAGGUUGGCGGAAUUGACGGUGUAGCGGUGAAAUGCUUAGAUAUCGUCAAGAACACCUAUUGCGAAGGCAGCUAACUAAGCUUUAACUGACGCUGAGGCACGAAAGUGUGGGGAUCAAACAGGAUUAGAUACCCUGGUAGUCCACACUGUAAACGUUGAUUACUCGCUGUUGGCGAUACACAGCCAGCGGCUUAGCGCAAGCGAUAAGUAAUCCACCUGGGGAGUACGCCGGCAACGGUG
rnacentral:rRNA from 1 species